rnacentral:lncRNA from 1 species
CCCAGUGCGGGCUAUGCAAAGAACGGCAUUUGCGAUUCACGAGAGGAUGCUUACAAAUUCACGUACACGACUCUUCUCUCCUGCUAUGACAAUCUGGGCGACGUAAAAAAGAUCCAUGCGCACCACUGCAUUUGUAAUGUGGAAUCCAGAUAAGGUGUUUGAAUAGUUGGACGUGGGGCUGUGGACUGCAACCUAAGGAUCGUGGAAGCCAUCCAAGCGAUAGAACAACAAGGUUUCGAGCGAGCAGCUUUAUGCUGCCUGCUCUCCUCCAGAUUGUGGAAGGUAGCAAUUGUUGAUCUGCUCAAGUCUCCAGGAAUCACGCACCAAUCAGUCAGGAAUAGCUUGUAUACAGAGUGUGAUUGACAUGUGAAUUGCAACUCCUUUUCUCUUCACAGAUCCUUUCUGUUGUAUGCGCAACUUUUGCGAUGGAGCAAGAAAUUUCUAAUGUUUGUUUAUUUUGCUAGAUGUCGUGAAACAAGCAAGGCAUAGGAGGACGAGCAAGCGGUGAUUGCCGGGCUGGAGGAGGAGCAUAGAAUCAGUUAGAACGCUCAAAGUUCGUGGGUAUGACCAUAACCGGAGAAAUCAUAUCAGCUGUUUUGUGGUACGCUUGUGUCUUCCAGUUGUAUAAGAAUUCAAUCCAAGGGCCCCGUAGGAAGUGCCAACUUUGCUAUGGCCUCGUCCAGCUUUAUCGCAAAGUCUAGGACAUCCAGAGCAAGCCAG